UACGUAUGGUGCAAGCGUUAUCCGGAUUUACUGGGUGUAAAGGGAGCGCAGGCGGUACGGCAAGUCUGAUGUGAAAGCCCGGGGCUCAACCCCGGUACUGCAUUGGAAACUGUCGGACUAGAGUGUCGGAGGGGUAAGUGGAAUUCCUAGUGUAGCGGUGAAAUGCGUAGAUAUUAGGAGGAACACCAGUGGCGAAGGCGGCUUACUGGACGAUUACUGACGCUGAGGCUCGAAAGCGUGGGGAGCAA
rnacentral:rRNA from 1 species